UACGUAGGGGCAAGCGUUGUCCGGAUUUUAUUUGGGCGUAAAGAGCGUGUAGGCGGCCAGGUAGGUCUGCUGUGAAAACUCGAGGCUUAACCUCGAGCUGUCGGCGGAAACCAUCUGGCUAGAGUCCGGAAGAGGAGAAUGGAAUUUCCCGGUGUAGCGGUGAAAUGCGCAGAUAUCGGGAAGAACACCCGUGGCGAAGGCGGUUCUCUGGGACGGUACUGACGCUGAGACGCGAAAGCGUGGGGAGCGAACAGG
rnacentral:rRNA from 1 species